rnacentral:lncRNA from 1 species
GGCAGAACAACCCGGGGCCUGCCUGGCUGUUCUCUGCCUGUUUCCUUGAGAGCAAGCACCUUCAUUCUCCUCGUGGUUUUCAUUACUGAGUCUCAGGUACGUGUCCCUGAACUACGGAGAGAAAGAGGAGAGAGAGACAUAGGGAGACAGGAAGUGAAAGAGAGAGACAGAGACACAAGGAUUGAUGGCAGGAAGGGGUGGGGAGAGAGAGAGAGAGAGAGAGAGAGAGAGAGAGAGAGAGAGAGAGAGAGAGAGAGAGAGGUGAAGAAAGUGGGGGAGGAAGAGGGACACAUCUGAAGUCUGACCCGGGCUGAAUCCUAAAUAGGACAGGUGAGUCAAAGCUCAGAACAGGAGUCAGGCUUUGGUCACGGGGCAGCUCAGACAUUUUACAUUGACAGUGACCACCAUCGAUGGGUUUCCUGAGGACCACUUUGAGGAGCGACUUGCUCAGUCUCUGCUAAGCCCCAGGGGCGAUGUGACUUCCCGGGGAGUGGCACACAUGUAUGGCAGGUUGGCAAGGAAGUCCGGCACAGGCCCAACACCCACUGCCUCUUGGCAUGUGACUUGGCCCCUUGACCAUCCAGCACCCCGAUUGCCCUCCAGGGAUGAGAACCCUUUGGGCAGGGAUCUGGUGGAAUGCCAUGUUAUCUUUCGACAUCCAUAGGUUUUUUUCAGCUUGAACUUUUCCACUUUUGUUUUACACCAGUGUUUUGAAACUUACCAGGCACCGUGUCUUCCUGAGGCGCUUCCCCGUCCCCGGCCCCUCUGCCCCAGCCCCGCUGGCCUCUCCCUCUGCUCCCGUGGCAUACCUCUGUCACGGACCUUAUCACACUGAAUUGAAAAGAUCUGAGAGCUCUUGGCUGGCAGGGACUGCGUGUUAUUCAUCUGUCUUCCUGGAGCCCAGCUGGAAAAUUAUCUGGUCAGCUGAUUCUCACACUGUGUCCAGCAAAGCCCCCGUGGUUCCACAGAGGACCCCAGGAAGGAGCAUGUGGUUUGGGGGUGCUGCGGCAGGGACUCCUGGCCCCCCAUGCCCCACUUUAACCAGAGCCCUUCCACCUUUUCCUGCUUAUCUACUGGGUUUCCAGGUGAGGUUUCACUUUUAAAAGAAGUUUCUCUGCUCUAAAAGGGUUAAGCCAGGUGCCUGGUGCCUGCUUAUAAUCUCAGUGACUCUGGAGGCUGAGGAAGGAGAUGGCAAGGUAGAGGCCAGCCUUAGCUAUUUAGCAAGGUCCUGUCUCAAAAUAAAAAAAAUAAAAAGGGAUAGAAAUGUAGCUCAAUGGUAAAACCUGGUUCAAUCCCCAGUACCAUAAUAAUAAUAAUAAUAAUAAUAAUAAUAAUAAUAAUAAAUCUAAGGUUCACGAAUCUCUAAUCUGGCCUGGUUCCUUAGGUUAUGUGCAUUUCGUACAUUCUCUUGAACCAUAAAGGAGCUAAAAUUUAAUACCUGAGCAUCAAACUGCUUCCUUCUGUCUUUGCUGGUCCCAUCUCACACUGAAUACUCCCUGUCCCCAACCCGUCCCUCUCAUGGGGAAAAGAAUUGGAGAAGGAUCGAUUCGAUACCUAUUAUAGAAUGAAAAUGUUUGUUUUCUAUCCACAGGAUUUGAUCAGGGACAAGAUGAUAUUUCUAAGGAAGAAGAAAUCUUGUUGGCCUAAUUACUCCAAUUUUAUUCUCUUAAAGCCAAAUUGACUAGGUGAACCACAGCACCCUGUCCUCGCAUCUCACGGUGAAGAUGGGAAGUUAAGACUUAACACGCCUGAAUUCUCAUCUCUGGGGUCCACUUCAUCACUGUGUAUUCGCAUGUGCAUGGUUAACUUCCAAGCCUUGCAUUUCUUCUCAUACAGUUUUUUUAUUCUGAUUAGCAAAUAAGAUAAUGUCGACAUCUUUUACAAAGUAUGAAGGUGUAUUUUAAAAUGGUAAUGCUUAAUGGAGUAUUACUCAGCCAUACAGAAGAAUAAUUUUAUGACAUUUGCAAGUAAAUGGAUGAACCUGGAGACUCUCAUGCUAAGUGAAAUAAG